GGUCAGAUGUGGGUCAAGACAUCGAGGCUUCAUUAGUUUAUCAAAUGACUGGAAACCUAAUCUGAACAAUAAAAGAAAAUAAUUAAAACUAGGAUAGCCAUCAGUAGAGCGCAUACCUCCGCCAAGUCCCGAAAGGCUCCCCUGUAUGAAAGUGGAUUUAAAUUCACUGGAUCUGGACCUUCUGAUUUGGAUCUACAUCAAAUUGUUUUCACUCACGGAUACCACAUAGCUAAACAUGCCUGAUUUAUUUCAAAAAGAUCCAUUAUUCACUGAGAAAUUGACAAGAAGGUUCAAAAAUAUCUGAUUUCACAGCUGUAAAGAAAUGUGCUGGAUCCGUCUCUUCAACUGGACAGUUUGUGUAACAAACCAACCAAUUAACAAACCAACCGUUGCUAUGGCGACUAGUACUACUAAACGAGCAGAGGUGAGGCGAGUUGCGCUGAGCCACCGGUACCGGUCAUUCAUGGCAUGGCAUCAAAACAAACUCGUUCAUCUGGUUCAGAAACAAGAAGAAACUAGAUGAAGACAAACGCUCUCAGGAUGCAGGAGCAAUUCUGAAAGAUUCUGGAGCCGCGGACCAGGAAGCAGCCCGGCCGCCUUCAGCAUCAAAUAUAUAUUCAUACUGAUAUAAAUAUGAAAAAUAUAUCUAAAAUAAAUAUUUUUAAGGAACUCUG